rnacentral:rRNA from 1 species
GACGAACGCUGGCGGCGUGCUUAACACAUGCAAGUCGAACGGUGAAGCGCCUUCCUUUUUGGUGGGUGUGGAUGAGUGGCGAACGGGUGAGUAACACGUGAGUAACCUGCCCCCUUCUUCUGGAUAACCGCAUGAAAGUGUGGCUAAUACGGGAUAUUCUGGGUCUGUCGCAUGAUGGGUCUGGGAAAGAUAUUGUUUCGGUGGGGGAUGGGCUCGCGGCCUAUCAGCUUGUUGGUGGGGUGAUGGCCUACCAAGGCGGUGACGGGUAGCCGGCCUGAGAGGGUGGACGGUCACACUGGGACUGAGACACGGCCCAGACUCCUACGGGAGGCAGCAGUAGGGAAUAGUGCACAAUGGGCGAAAGCCUGAUGCAGCGACGCCGCGUGAGGGAUGGAGGCCUUCGGGUUGUGAACCUCUUUCGCCAGUGAAGCAGGCCUGCCUCGUUUGUGGGUGGGUUGACGGUAGCUGGAUAAGAAGCGCCGGCUAACUACGUG